UGUUUCUCAUCGACUUUAUAUUCAGGCUCACACAUUCAAUUUGUUAGUCGGUGUUCACACCUUGCAAUUGUAUCAUCCAUCCUAGUUUAUUUCUUUUUCUCGCUUUCUUCUCAUGUGUUUGUUUAAAUUGAGAAAAACAAAAAAAAAUUAGUUGUAAGUUUACUUUCCUGCUUGCUUAGGGGUAUUUAAAAAGAAAACCCAAAAA
rnacentral:lncRNA from 1 species